GAUGAACGCUGGCGGCGUGCCUAAUACAUGCAAGUCGAGCGAACAGACGAGGAGCUUGCUCCUCUGACGUUAGCGGCGGACGGGUGAGUAACACGUGGAUAACCUACCUAUAAGACUGGGAUAACUUCGGGAAACCGGAGCUAAUACCGGAUAAUAUAUUGAACCGCAUGGUUCAAUAGUGAAAGACGGUUUUGCUGUCACUUAUAGAUGGAUCCGCGCCGCAUUAGCUAGUUGGUAAGGUAACGGCUUACCAAGGCAACGAUGCGUAGCCGACCUGAGAGGGGGAUCGGCCACACUGAAACUGAGACACGGUCCAGACUCCUACGGGAGGCAGCAGUAGGGAAUCUUCCGCAAUGGGCGAAAGCCUGACGGAGCAACGCCGCGUGAGUGAUGAAGGUCUUCGGAUCGUAAAACUCUGUUAUUAGGGAAGAACAAAUGUGUAAGUAACUAUGCACGUCUUGACGGUACCUAAUCAGAAAGCCACGGCGAACUACGU
rnacentral:rRNA from 1 species